UAGUUCUCCAUGUCUCUCCUUUCAAUUCCAUUAAGAAGCGAGGGGGUGUUGCAGUAAGAGGAAAGGUGAAGUAAAAAUAGGUGUUUCAGUUUUGCACAAAAAUAAACACAUAGGUGCCUCGAGCAAAUUAUUCCUGCAUUAAGAGAAGAUUUAAUUGUUUACUGAUCUCGUUAUAGAUCUGAUUUUGGGGAAUAGAAUAUUUUCGAUGCCCUUUUUGUUCGACAGGAGAGAGAGCUACUAAACUAUUUCCGAUGCACUGUCGUUCUAACUUCCGUUAAAGGCUACCGGAAUAAAGGCAUGCGGUACGAAAUAAGCGAUGGCUGCAGUGUGUAACUGCCUCGGCCCAAGAACUGUUUGAAGGUAAUUUUUGUGCUUCUCGUAUUUUAUUCGAUGUUAGGAACAGUAAAAGUAAAUUAUGCCAUUUUACCUGUCUAUGGCUCUGAUAGGAAAAAUGAACUUCAAGGGCAAGCUGAGGGAGCUCCCGGUAAUGGUUAUGUCGCCGGAGAACGUUUUGCUCGCACUGAUAGGUAUUAGCCUAUAUCAAGAUUUUAUUAUUACUAUUAUUAUUAUGAAAUAUAUAUUCCUGUUUUCAGUAUCUAGAUUCUUGUAUAAUGGGAGAUGGUUAGUCUAAUGACAAUGCGGAUGAAGGUUUUACAAAUGGUUUAGAGAGGUAUAAAUAAAUUUCAAGUAGCAGUUAUAUG